rnacentral:misc_RNA from 1 species
GAAAUGCGAUAAGUAGUGUGAAUUGCAGAAUUCAGUGAAUCAUCGAAUCUUUGAACGCACAUUGCGCCCCUUGGUAUUCCAUGGGGCAUGCCUGUUCGAGCGUCAUCUACACCCUCAAGCUCUGCUUGGUGAUGGGCGUCUGUCCCGCCUCUGCGCGCGGACUCGCCCCAAAGUCAUUGGCAGCGGUCCUGUCCGCCUCUCGCGCAGCACGAAUGCGCUUCUCGAGGCGUCGGGGCCCGCGUCCACACAAGCCCAUUUACCAUUUUUGACCUCGGAUCAGGUAGGGAUACCCGCUGAACUUAA